CAGUCAUUGUCUCAUGUGGGAUUAUUUUUGAAGAAGCCAAUAUUUACUCAUGGACAACUGUAUGUUGCUCUUUCACGCGUGACGAGUAGAAAAGGGUUGAAGAUUUUAGUUUAUGAUGAUGAUGGCCAAAUAACGAAUGAAGCUAGAAAUGUGGUGUAUAAAGAAGUUUUCCGUAAUUUGGUUUGAGAUGAAUCUAGACAUGAUGGAAUUAUCUGGUAUUUACAAGAAAUCAAGCAGUUGAAAAAAUGGCACAACUUUUGACUUAUAGGUGUCAUGGCACAAAUUUGAGCUAUAUGGACAGACUUUGUGUGAUUGAGCACAAAUAGUACUGUUAUGCACUCCCUUCCUCUUUUGUUUGUCCUUGGUUUGCUCUUACACAUUUAGAACAAAACUUGUCUUCAGGCUGUUGUCAGCAAUUUGGGGGUGACUUAUCCCUGAUACAACAACUUUUUUCUGGAUGGACACGUAGUACUGUACAAGCUAAAAUACAAGAAAGAAGAGCAGCAACAUCCAUUUAGACUUCAAUGGUGGCCAAAGAGUUACUUUCUUCAUACCCGAUGGAUAUUUCUCAUUCCAUAAUGUUUUGCUGGAACACAUCUCAUAGAGGUGUAACAAAUCGUUCCAAAGAGAAAGAUAAAGAUGAAUCAUAAAGUCUUGAUGAUAGCCUAUGCACCUACAAUUGAUGGCUAUGCUGGGAAUGCUCUAGCAGUUAAGGCCUUAGAGCUAUUUUUGGAGAUGAGUUGAAGAAGUAAAAGCACAUGAGGUAGGACAAUUAUCCAUAAAAUAUCUCUUAUUUUUAAUGCCAACAGUAUUUGAUUUCCUAUGUAUAAGGUUCUAAGACUGAUUCAUAAUUGUGUUAUCUGUUCUGGUUUGGUGUUGCUUUUCUUUCAAUGAAAUGAUCUACCGAUUGCAUAUUAUUGAUGGAAGACUGAUUUUUGUGAAAGUUGCUGAGAAUACACAAGCUAACAGAAAAUAAAA